GCUGGCGGCAGGCCUAACACAUGCAAGUCGAGCGGUUGAAGGGAGCUUGCUCCUGGUUCAGCGGCGGACGGGUGAGUAAUGCCUAGGAAUCUGCCUGGUAGUGGGGGAUAACGUCCGGAAACGGGCGCUAAUACCGCAUACGUCCUGAGGGAGAAAGUGGGGGAUCUUCGGACCUCACGCUAUCAGAUGAGCCUAGGUCGGAUUAGCUAGUUGGUGGGGUAAAGGCCUACCAAGGCGACGAUCCGUAACUGGUCUGAGAGGAUGAUCAGUCACACUGGAACUGAGACACGGUCCAGACUCCUACGGGAGGCAGCAGUGGGGAAUAUUGGACAAUGGGCGAAAGCCUUAUCCAAGCCAUGCCGGGUGUUUAAAGAAGGUCUUCGGAUUGUAAAGCACUUUAAGUUGGGAGGAAGGGCAGUAAGUUAAUACCUUGCUGUUUUGACGUUACCAACAGAAUAAGCACCGGCUAACUUCGUGCCAGCAGCCGCGGUAAUACGAAGGGUGCAAGCGUUAAUCGGAAUUACUGGGGUUUAAAGCGCGCGUAGGUGGUUCACAAGUUGGAUGUGAAAUCCCCGGGCUCAACCUGGGAACUGCAUCCAAAACUACUGAGCUAGAGUACGGUAGAGGGUGGUGGAAUUUCCUGUGUAGCGGUGAAAUGCGUAGAUAUAGGAAGGAACACCAGUGGCGAAGGCGACCACCUGGACUGAUACUGACACUGAGGUGCGAAAGCUGGGGAGCAAAC
rnacentral:rRNA from 1 species